AGGGGCGCUGAAGCGAAGGCAAACAAGAAAGAGCAAAGAGUUAGCCCAAUUAGACUUGGAAAGUGCAGAUAAUCCAAAUUACAGCCCACAUCGUUCCACAGCCAAUUGCGACCGCCAUCCAACACCGCACAAUUCUGCUCGCCAUUAUAAUUGUUCGGCUGAUCUUUGCCCCAGGCCGGCUUUUGUACCACUUCACCUGUAAAUACAAGUCAAGUUAAAAGCCCACGACCGCUAUGUACGCCGGUUGACUCUACUAACUACAUACACACAUACAUAAGUAUGCAGAUGUGUACACUGAGUUAUAGCCCCUAACUACAGCAACGCAUUCACUUUGUGAUCUAUGCACCUUAGAAGACUUAAAAUAAAAGAAAAAAA